UUUGCUCAACAAUAGCAACCACCACAUUAAACAUGAACAAUACAAAUGGAGUCACAUUAAUCAUAACAUAAGACUCACGGGCAUACUUGACACUAACGUAUAGAUACUAGUCACCAUGUCUAUACGUCGUACUCAAAAAUAACACAUAAAAAAUAGGACACAACUCCCAAUCUCUCAAGCUAAGGUUAGACCAAACACUUACCUCGCUUUGCAACCAAUUCAAAAUUCCAACAAGCCUUUGCUUCGCGAAUUCGCGCCCGAAAUUCUCAAAUCUAGUCAUAAACAAUUCAAAAUACUCAACACGAAUCGUAGGAACUAAUUCUAUAUGAAUUUACAAAUUUUCCGGAUUACAAUUUGAAAUUUAGCUCAAAAAUUGGCCGUGGGGCCCACGUAUCGAAAUCCGACGAAACUCAUAAAAUCCGACAACCCAUACCGAUACGAGUUCAACCAUAUAAAAAUUAUUGAAUUCUGAUGUCAAAUAGACCUUCAAAUCCUAAAUUUUUAUUUUUGGAAAGUUUUAAAAAAAACUAGAAUUUCUUUCAUCCAAGUCCGAAAUAAACGAUGAAUAUUGAUAUAGAUUCACGAAAUGUAAUCACUUCCGGAUAUGCCCAAGUCAAAAUCGUGGAAAACUCCUUUAGAAUCACCCAAAUCCGUGCUUGAGUGACUAAAAAUAGGAAAUAUUUUGGACUUUUCGGUUUAUGAACUGUCCAGUGCAAUUUUACUAGCGCGGUCGCGCUCAGGCCGCGCUCACAAGGCAGAAAGUUUCGAAUAUGCGCAGUCGUCGCGGACCUGGGCGCGCAUAUGAUACAGGUCCAGUAAAAUAGUCAUAACUUUCUGUAUACACCUCCAAAUGACGAACGGUUUGAUGCUCUGGAAACUAGACUCAAAGAGCUUUAAUUUGAUAGGUUAUGCAUCAUACAACGUGUUAUAUCCAUGCAGAUAUGCUCGUCUAAAGUGAGGUCUUGCGCGUACUCAUUUGCAACUUUAGUCUAUUAUGUAAUUUUCCAACUUGGCUUACACUUAGAACCUUUCUUAGACCUCAUAUCACUUAUAGUAUGUUUCGUACACUUGCUAUAAUAUCCAGUUGGUAACCAUUAUGUUAAUAGAUCGUCGGAUGAGAAGUAGAGUCCGCCCCCAAACGCAUAACAUAACUUACCUCUUCUUUCGAUAUUUUCAUAAAACACAUAAAUAAAUAUUUAAAUUAAAGAUGGCAUUUUUGGGUCAUCACAAAGCCACAUGAAUGCACACUUCCCAAAUGAUUUAGAAGACUCAGAGAGAAGAGGGUUUCGUAACAAUUUAUAUACAGUUCAAACAGUAUCAAAGCGCUAAAAAGCGGUAUUUAGCACAUUAGGAUCAAACAUGUAAAAAUUAGAUAAUAAAUAAAGCCAAGUAUAACAGUUAUUCUAAGCUCGAAUUCUGAACCCUGAACCAGAGGUUCUGCGUUCUUGUCCCCAGCGGAGUCGUCAGAGCUGUCACACCUCCUUUUUCUACCUGGAAGGGUAUAUAAAGGAGUUUUUCCAAUUUAAGUGACAUUAUUCGAAAUGGGAUUAUUUUAUUUAAUUUUUCAGAAUCGCCACUUGGAAUAAUUUGUUUGGUGUUCCAAGUCACCGGUUUAUUUUAAAAUCCCAAAUCGAGAAAAUUGCGACUUUAUUUUGAAAGUCUACGAACCAGAAAUUCUAAGUAAGGAAUUAUGUUAACCCGGGAGAAGGUGUUAGGCAUUCCCGGGUUCCGUGGUUCGAGCACGGUCACUUAAACUAUUAAAAUUGGCCUAAUUAUCUAAUUAAUAACAUGUUUUAACCUAUUGUGCAUUUUAGCUUAACGCCGCUUUUAGGAAGAUUCAACGUUAUUUAAAACACGUCUUAAACCACGCUACAUGAAAUGCACCCGCGGUUCGCGACACAUUCUAUAUAACAUUGUUGAGAAAUUGAAAUUGGGUCACAUGAAAUAUACACCCGAAUUUAGUAAUUAAAAAAUCACAACUACGUCACGGGAACCGUACCCGUAACUAUGAUGAAUUAUUUAAAGAACGCACCUAAAACAACUACGAAGUUGUUAUAAUCGGGUUACAUGAAAUUCACCCCCGAAUUUGGGAAUUAGGUAUCAUGACUAUGUCAUAGGAGCCGCACCCAUAGUCACGAUAAUUUCAUUAUAAUGCGUCUAAAGCAACUACAAAGAUUCAUUGGGUUGCAGUAGCGGUAAUAUAAAGAUAUAAGACUACUAUACUAAGCUACAAACAAAUAAGUUGCAAGAAUGCGGGACAUUUAAAUAGGUAGUCUGUAACUCAGUAUUGGAAAUCUUACUCCUGCAAAUAUACUGGACAAAUAAUAUUUUCCAUUGUUUAUAAAAAAAAAAAACAUUUAGUUGUACAAUUUGAUAAGCCUACAUUCAGAAUCAAUACAAUAGAAUGAAUGGUUCCAGAAAAAGUUAAAGAAAAAACCAACAUCACAUCGGUUUAUGUUACCCAAAUUCUAAAAAAAUGAGCUACAACAAAUGAAUAGCAAUUAGUUUCAAAGGUCUAGCUAGAAUUCGGUAUAAUAGCUUGACUAUUACAUGCUAAUCAGAUAAACAAACAGAUUAAUGGACUAUUUCUAUACAAUUGGCGUUCAGCACAUUAUUGCUAAAUCAAAUCCAGUUUCACAUGAGAUCUGCCUAUUAAAAGCGAAUAGGCCCAGCCUAACUAAUUUAAUCAAAUUUUGAGUAAACGCAGACUCAACCAAUUACGGAAGAUAGAUUACAGAACUUCUUGAACGUUGCCAGAGAUACAAUCCAAUUUGGAGAUUGUGACAGAUUUAUGGCAAUUAAAAUAAGAAAUCAUAAUUUCAGCAUGCUUUGGGUUUCUAUUCAAGUUCGAAACUCCGACCUUCGUUUUCAAUGUUAUUAGGAUAAUUACAGCAAAUUGUCUCGACGCCCACGUGUUUCAUCAAAAAUAAGCUAUGAAAUUCAAAGGUUAACAGAUGAAGGGAUUCAAACUAAUUUAGCCUUCACACACUAGAUCUAUUAGUAUAGAGAAACAAACAACUCGAGCUUCAUUCAUAGUUUUGAAAUCAAAACAAUCGAGGCAUAUGAACAUACCUAUGAGCAGAAAACAAACUGAACAGCAGAUAAAUCAACCGAAAAAGGUGUCAAAUAAGGGCUGAUGAAGCUCAACGAAACAGAAAUAGCACGCAGCGAUUCACGACCAGAAAAACUCAACCCUUCGAUAGCUUUAAAAUCUGGACAAGAGUUCUCAAAAUCUCAACCUCAUAUCUCUGUUUUUUUUUGGCUUCAAAUUUCUAAUCAAUGAAGGUGUGGGAGUGAGGUUUUGUUCUUCAGAGGGAUAGGAAAUUAGAGGGGGGGCGGCAGUUAAUGGUUGAAGAUGGAGAAACGUUCAUCUUUUUUGUUGCUCCUUGCGCCGUUCUCUGUUUCUUUUUUGGGGAGCGUUUUUUUGCUUUUGAUUUGGAAGGGAGCAGAUGGAGCGUCGUUUCUAGGGGUAAGGGAUUUAGGAUCUGAUGGAUCUAUUUUUCAGGUUUUCUAAUUGUGUUUUUAUAUGUAGAGGUAGGGUAAAGGGCAAUGGAU
rnacentral:lncRNA from 1 species